AGGGCUAUAGCUCAGUGGUGGAGCACAUACUUUGCAUGUAUGAGCCCCUAGGUUCAAUCCCAAGUACCACCA
rfam:Ictidomys tridecemlineatus contig014835, whole genome shotgun sequence.